rnacentral:rRNA from 1 species
AUGAACGCUGGCGGCGUGCCUAAUACAUGCAAGUCGCGCGAACGGACGAGAAGCUUGCUUCUCUGAUGUUAGCGGCGGACGGGUGAGUAACACGUGGAUAACCUACCUAUAAGACUGGGAUAACUUCGGGAAACCGGAGCUAAUACCGGAUGAUAUUUUGAACCGCAUGGUUCAAAAGUGAAAGACGGUCUUGCUGUCACUUAUAGAUGGAUCCGCGCUGCAUUAGCUAGUUGGUAAGGUAACGGCUUACCAAGGCAACGAUGCAUAGCCGACCUGAGAGGGUGAUCGGCCACACUGGAACUGAGACACGGUCCAGACUCCUACGGGAGGCAGCAGUAGGGAAUCUUCCGCAAUGGGCGAAAGCCUGACGGAGCAACGCCGCGUGAGUGAUGAAGGUCUUCGGAUCGUAAAACUCUGUUAUUAGGGAAGAACAUAUGUGUAAGUAACUGUGCACAUCUUGACGGUACCUAGUCAGAAAGCCACGGCUAACUACGUG